UAUACAUGCAGUCGAGCGGACAGAUGGGAGCUUGCUCCCUGAUGUUAGCGGCGGACGGGUGAGUAACACGUGGGUAACCUGCCUGUAAGACUGGGAUAACUCCGGGAAACCGGGGCUAAUACCGGAUGGUUGUUUGAACCGCAUGGUUCAGACAUAAAAGGUGGCUUCGGCUACCACUUACAGAUGGACCCGCGGCGCAUUAGCUAGUUGGUGAGGUAACGGCUCACCAAGGCGACGAUGCGUAGCCGACCUGAGAGGGUGAUCGGCCACACUGGGACUGAGACACGGCCCAGACUCCUACGGGAGGCAGCAGUAGGGAAUCUUCCGCAAUGGACGAAAGUCUGACGGAGCAACGCCGCGUGAGUGAUGAAGGUUUUCGGAUCGUAAAGCUCUGUUGUUAGGGAAGAACAAGUGCCGUUCAAAUAGGGCGGCACCUUGACGGUACCUAACCAGAAAGCCACGGCUAACUACGUGCCAGCAGCCGCGGUAAUACGUAGGUGGCAAGCGUUGUCCGGAAUUAUUGGGCGUAAAGGGCUCGCAGGCGGUUUCUUAAGUCUGAUGUGAAAGCCCCCGGCUCAACCGGGGAGGGUCAUUGGAAACUGGGGAACUUGAGUGCAGAAGAGGAGAGUGGAAUUCCACGUGUAGCGGUGAAAUGCGUAGAGAUGUGGAGGAACACCAGUGGCGAAGGCGACUCUCUGGUCUGUAACUGACGCUGAGGAGCGAAAGCGUGGGGAGCGAACAGGAUUAGAUACCCUGGUAGUCCACGCCGUAAACGAUGAGUGCUAAGUGUUAGGGGGUUUCCGCCCCUUAGUGCUGCAGCUAACGCAUUAAGCACUCCGCCUGGGGAGUACGGUCGCAAGACUGAAACUCAAAGGAAUUGACGGGGGCCCGCACAAGCGGUGGAGCAUGUGGUUUAAUUCGAAGCAACGCGAAGAACCUUACCAGGUCUUGACAUCCUCUGACAAUCCUAGAGAUAGGACGUCCCCUUCGGGGGCAGAGUGACAGGUGGUGCAUGGUUGUCGUCAGCUCGUGUC
rnacentral:rRNA from 1 species